UAGCUCAUCACAAUUUGUGGAAGAAGAAAGCAGAACUGAGGCUCCGCCCGAAACUUGAGGUGCAGCGACAAGGCGCACACCUGAGAAGAAGCCCUAUGGAGGGGCAAAGAUGACGACUUUUCGUGCCACUAAGAAAGGUUGUCUCUGCCGGUGUCGAGGUGGGACAGAACACCUAAGGACAGGUGGUCCUAGAGUAGCACGGGGAGCAGGUAGUACGGUGCGUGCAUAAGGCCCUCGAAUAUGCAGGCGUGCUACUCCCCCGUGAAGAACUGAGCAAGCAGGACUGCUGGAUGUCCCUUCAGCCCAUCCGAUGCAGCUGUGUGACUUUGAGGUAUGUGGUCGAUACGCAGGGCACCCAGGGCAGCGGAUGGAAGGUUUGUUCAUCAAGAGCACAGUCCCAUGGGGUUCAGUCUGCAUGGAUGUAGCAGAACCAAUGGGGACAACAGGAAAGAGAGGU